GGACGCAUGUGUGCCCAUUGAAGCCAUAAAAACUAAAAUACACGGAUUGCGUUCUCAAUUUCUAAAAGAAACGGCCUUGGUGAGGGCAAGUAAAAGAAGUGGAGCUGGCACGGGCAUCAUCUUCAAGCCUUUCUGAAAGUGAAAGCAGUGAUGUAAACGUUGAAGUUGUCGAUGAGGAGGACUCAUUGCUUACCGACUCCCUGCAUGGCACAUCGCAGGCGUCUAAUUUGCCAUCAACAACGCCUUCACCAAUCACUCCUGGACAGUGUUCGUCAUCUAAAAAAAAGAAGCUGGUAUUUACCGAGCAAUUGGAGGGAGUUAAGCGCUUGGUGACAAAGCGCUUAUCAGAAACUAGUGACUACAACUGGAUCACCAAACAAGUGGACUUUGAAUUUUCGACGUAUUACCAACGAGGAAGUUAAAAGCGAAAUGGCCUACAAAAUUAAGACAAUUCUAAGAGAAGGGCGGAUGAAAGCUGCUGAAUUGUCAAGGGAGACGAGAGAUGUCGCCGGGAGGGAACGCAACAGAACAGCAGCGCCGAUUAUUGCCCCAAUACCUAUUGUUCGAACUACUCAGCCACUAUCUAAUAUUUUAGAACAAUCGCUUAUAGGAAUUGAUUUCGAAUACGACGAUUUCUAAUUUGGAGCAAGUUUGAAAUCUAAAAAAUAAACUAAGAUCUCAAUA